GCUAUAAGCCAACGGUGGCCAUCUGGGGAUAAUGCACGUUGGUCAAACGGUGGCCCUACGGCCGAAAUGACGCGGUUACGUCGCUAUGCCAACGAUGUGCCAACGUUAGGCCAGCGGCCAAAAUGUCGUAGGGCCAGCGUUGGCUCACACCGUCAGGCCAACGAUAUGCGGCGUUGGCUCACAACGUUUUGCCAACGUAGGGCCAACGUAUGCUUGCUAUCUGGGCCAGCUCCACUGUCUCCUCCCUUUGCGAUUUUCCAGCUGAAUUUAAGAAACAGGAAUAUGUAGGCAUCAAACUUGCAUCUGUGUCAAUGAUAGUGUAACAGUUUUAUAGUGUGGUUUAUAUAUUUAUAUAUAACUAUUUACAUAUUUAUAGUGAAUUUCCCCAAAUGUUUGACCUGUAACAUGGUACAUUAUUUAUUUAGUUCCACUUGUCAUUUAUUGUUGGUUCCGAUGGGGCGCUAAUUGGGGUCGCACACGCCUAGACUUCCUCUCAUUCGGCAGUUUGGAAAGGGGGGAUGUCAGCGUUAUCUCCAACUGCCCGCGUGUGAUAUACCCUGUUGUCCUAUGUUACAGUUUGGAAGGGGAAUAAAUGCUGUCAGAUCCAUUCCACGUCUCCUCUGCAUUAUCGGCCAACUAGUCACACGACGACCUGUGAACAUUAAUGUAACAGGCUGAUCAAAGUCUGUUACAUAAACAAGGAUUCAACUGAUCAGCCGCUGUUGCCGAUCCCCGGGGUUAAGCUGUCUGCAUGAAGGUAUCGUGAUGGAAGACCAGUGAAUCCUCAUCGUCCGUGCUAAUUGUACUGUGUGUCUAGGUCAAUUGGAAUUUAUCUGGUUAAGUUUCAAUACUACAUUAGGUUUUGUUGUGCUUCUCUUUUCUUUAUUUUAUUUUAUUUAAUUGAGAGGGAAUAUACACACAAUUUUGGUUUUCUGUUGACGAUAUUCAGUUUACAGUAUGGCCAGUGGAUGUGAUUUUUUUGAUAAUGUGACACCUUAUGUCGGGAGAGGGAGGGGCAGGGGCCUAUUGGUUUAUGCAGGGGAGGAGGUUAAGAAGCUGGCUUUCACAGACAUCCCACAGCAUUCUGUGGGAUCCACUUCUCUCUCACAGACACUACCCCCACAUUUCAGUGAUAGUGAGGAACAUGCACAGGUUAAGACAGGCCAUGUAGUCACAUCCCCUGUAGGGCCUAUAUCAUCCACGCCCAUUGUGUCUGUCAGUGGCAAUGACCCUGCAGCUGAUCUCCGUGACUUGAUCACUGAAUUGGGUAAUCAAAUAGGAGAUUCAAUAGUCAGUCGGCUGUUUGCCCCCAGUCCACCUGUCUUGCCAUCAUUUGUCCCAGUCUCUCCUGUGGUUGGUGGCGACAAUCCCGGCAGUAGCACACUGGAUCUCUCCAGAGUGAACGUGGUCGUCAAGCAUGAUGUCCGUGAACCUGCUGUUUUCAGAGGGGAAGCUUCUGAUAAGUGUACAGUGCAGGAAUGGAUAGAGUUAAUGGAAGUGCUUCAGAUCAACCUGAGGAGAUCUUGAGUCAUUUAAUGGGGAAGGCCAAGAAAAUCGUGAAGGUGGGGUUAAAGAGUAACUUAACACCUGACAGUGCGGUCCAUCCAGAAAUGAUUUAUGAAAUUCUCAGGCGAUACUUCAGUGAGAGCCCUGCAUCAUGCUUACCUUUAGCUGAUUUUUACGCCACCCAACCCAGUAUGGGUGAGGAUCCAGUGGAUUACUGGGUGCGGUUGAACACAGCAGCAGAGCAUCGCAAUAGCAUCGCCAGGUCAUUCCCACAGGCUGAUAACACCAAAGCGGAGGGCGCCCCAGCCCCCCGCCCCCUGUACUGAGUAGUCCUGAGUAUUACUGA